UACGUAGGGUGCGAGCGUUAAUCGGAAUUACUGGGCGUAAAGCGUGCGCAGGCGGUGAUGUAAGACCGAUGUGAAAUCCCCGGGCUUAACCUGGGAACUGCAUUGGUGACUGCAUCGCUCGAGUAUGGCAGAGGGGGGUAGAAUUCCACGUGUAGCAGUGAAAUGCGUAGAGAUGUGGAGGAAUACCGAUGGCGAAGGCAGCCCCCUGGGUCAAUACUGACGCUCAUGCCCGAAAGCGUGGGGAGCAAACAGG
rnacentral:rRNA from 1 species